rnacentral:lncRNA from 1 species
ACAGGCUCUGGGGGUAGGCAUCAAGGAAUUUGUUGAAAACGGAAUGUUAGUCCACGCUGCCGGGGGGCUUUUCCGAACCAUAAGAGAGGGCCAAGCGGGGUGGGGUCCCUGUGAGUGCGCUGCGGAGCAAACGAUGUCAGCGUAGGAUCCUGUUGUGGAGUUCGGGGCGUUGAUAGCGUACUGAGUUUGGGGGGUUGCGGCGUCAGUUAGAUGUACGAAAGGUGUAUCGGAGGACGCGCUGCUUACGCAACGACAGUGUCGCAAGUGUGCUACGAUACUGGUUGCCGGUUUCUUCAGGUGACCAGCGUACGCACGCGUCAGACCAUAAUCAGACGCAAGACUGAAAUUCUGCAGAAUAUGUCGUGUCGCGGGUCUGGAUUACACUGGACCGAAAUAGGUUACGGCCGCUACGCGUGCAGUCGUGGACACCUCGUCAAAGUCGAGACCACAGCCACCAAGACUAUUGACACUCCUGUUCCUACACAGCAAUGAGCGGAACCUGGUCGUCGCAGAACAACUGAGACAGAGCGGUCCUUUUGUAUGCCUGUGAAUUUUGUCAUGACCGUCCUCUCUUUUAUGACUGGCUUGUGUUCCUGAGAGGUAUCAAACGCAUGUCAAUUUUGUCGAUUUCGCCGCCGCAAGGUCGGAGCUGCGCGUGGGCGCGGCGCCACUGAACGAUUAACUUCAUUGACGUUGCGUCUGAAUGUGCACCAGCGUUCGUGCCAUCGGUGGUCGUUGAUCCCCUGCGGAUGCAAAGUGUGUUGCGACAGGUUGGAGCACGUGGACAGAUAGGGUGAAUGGGUACACGGGUGUCUAGCCCGCGAAUGUUAAAGCAGUGUGCGCAAGUGUCGUGCGUGGUGGUUUUCGGGUGCUGUUGUCUGCUAUUCCCUCGCUAACUCGCUACCGGUGCACCGGUGGUGUGAGUGCCGUACGACGUUUAUCUCCCUGGGCCAGAAGAGGAAGGCCUCAUGUGUGUUGUAGUUACUGUGUUGGUGACAACAGUUUUGCCCGUUAGGGUCGUGCGGUCUGCGAACUCUGGUGGUUCCCUGGCAGCAAGUUAUGCGCGGUUUGGCGGCUACGGGCGUCCUAUCCUCGGGCCCGAGACAUUUGAC